CUGCCCACUGAUAAAAUUUUAAAGGGCCGCGGUAUUCUGACUGUGCAAAGGUAGCAUAAUCGUUAGUUUUUUAAUUGGAAUCUUGUAUGAAUGGUUUGACAAAAAAAAAUCUGUCUUUAUAAUUAUUUAUUGAAUUUAACUUUUAAGUGAAAAGGCUUAAAUAAAUUAAAAAGACGAUAAGACCCUAUAAAGCUUAAUAUUAUAUUUUUAUUUAAUUAAAUUUUAAAUUUUAUAUAAAAAUUUGGUAAAUAAAUUUUAUUUUAUUGGGGUGAUAAUGGUAAAAUGAUUAUUAACUGUUAAAUUUUUUAGACAAAAAUAAAUGAAUAGUAAUUGUUAUAAAGGAUCCUGUAUUAAAGAUUAAAAGUUUAAGUUACUUUAGGGAUAACAGCGUUAUUUUUUUUGAGAGUUCUUAUCGAGAAAAAAGUUUGCGACCUCGAUGUUGAAUUAAAAUAUCUAUAUAAUUGCAGUAGUUAUAUAAGAAGGUCUGUUCGACCUUUAAAAUUUU
rnacentral:rRNA from 1 species